rnacentral:rRNA from 1 species
AGUCGUACGCGAACGACCUUUCGGGGUUAAGUAGAGUGGCGAACGGGUUAGUAACGCGUGGGAACAUACACAGCACAGGGGGAUAACCAUUGGAAACGAUGGCUAAUACCGCAUACGCCCUAUUGGGGAAAGAUUUAUCGGUGUUGGAUUGGCCCGCGUUAGAUUAGCUAGUUGGUGGGGUAAUGGCUCACCAAGGCGACGAUCUAUAGCUGGUUUGAGAGGAUGAUCAGCAACACUGGAACUGAGACACGGUCCAGACUCCUACGGGAGGCAGCAGUCGGGAAUAUUGUGCAAUGGGGGCAACCCUGACACAGCCAUGCCGCGUGAGUGAAGAAGGCCUUAGGGUUGUAAAGCUCUUUCAGAUGUGAGGAUGAUGACGAUAGCAUCAGAAGAAGCUCCGGCUAACUUCGUGCCAGCAGCCGCGGUAAUACGAAGGGAGCUAGCGUUGUUCGGAAUUACU